AGCAAAGCAACUGCUGAUGUUGACAAAGGAGUCCAUGAUGAGACUGGUUUCUUUUAGGUGGUUCUGUUUUCUGAAAAUAUGGGCUUGGAUAAAGAAACUAUUGGGAGAAUUAUUUUUCGCUACCAGCAUUGAUAAAACUCUUUAGAGGAAGAUUGAAUUCCUUUCUAGGGUUAGUGUUUUUUAAGCUUAUUUUCCUGGGAUAAUUAGAAAAUAUCUGGAAUUACUUGUAACCAACACUGAUACAACUAUAUUGUAUCCGGAAAUUUUUGGUUCACUAAGUAUAUAAAUGUUUAUUUUUUUA